AUUGAACGCUGGCGGCAGGCCUAACACAUGCAAGUCGAACGAGUGGCGGACGGGUGAGUAAUGUCUGGGAAACUGCCCGAUGGAGGGGGAUAACUACUGGAAACGGUAGCUAAUACCGCAUACCAUCGGAUGUGCCCAGAUGGGAUUAGCUAGUAGGUGGGGUAACGGAACACCUAGGCGACGAUCCCUAGCUGGUCUGAGAGGAUGACCAGCCACACUGGAACUGAGACACGGUCCAGACUAAUACGGGAGGCAGCAUAGGGGAAUAUUGCACAAUGGGCGCAAGCCUGAUGGAGCAACGACGCGGGCGGGAUGAAGGCCUUCGAGUUGUAAACCGCUUUCAGCCAUGACGCGGUAGUGGCAGAAGAAGCACCGGCUAACUACGUGACAGCAGCCGCGGUAAUUC
rnacentral:rRNA from 1 species